rnacentral:tRNA from 1 species
UUAGUGGUGGUUCAGUGGUAGGAUUCUUGCCUUCCAUGCAGGAGAUCUGGCUUCUAAUCCCUGCCAGUGCA